rnacentral:rRNA from 1 species
CGACCGGCGCACGGGUGCGUAACGCGUAUGCAACCUACCUUUAACAGGGGAGUAACACUGAGAAAUUGGUACUAAUACCCCAUAAUAUCAUAGAAGGCAUCUUUUAUGGUUGAAAAUUCCGAUGGUUAGAGAUGGGCAUGCGUUGUAUUAGCUAGUUGGUGGGGUAACGGCUCACCAAGGCGACGAUACAUAGGGGGACUGAGAGGUUAACCCCCUACACUGGUACUGAGACACGGACCAG